GGGGAAAUAGCUCAUUUGGUAAGUGCUUGCCUUGCAUGCAAAAGGCCCUGGGUUCAAUCCCCAGUGCCA
rnacentral:tRNA from 1 species